ensembl:lncRNA novel transcript
CCACUUCCCAUCAUGGAUGGCUUCAACUCAGCUCCCGCAGUAUCCUGGUCACCUCUCACCCAGAGCACGUACUGCUCUGAGGUUCCUGCCAGCUCGUCUGUCUGUUCUUUAAAGCAUCCUGAGGAGUGGACAGGCCCUGUUUCUGUGUUGCUGCAGCGGCCAGCAUAGACGAGAUAUGCACUAUUUCUUGAAAGAACUGUAACGUCCGAUCGAGGUGGAAGCACUCACUUGUGCUUUGAUGCAUCUCCCCUCCAAACACAACAGUGAAAAGCCUCGAGAACUGUGAAGAAUGAAUUUCUGUUGUUUAAAAGGUAAUGGGAGUUAGUUACAGCAGCCUGAAUGGACUGAGCCACUAGACAGGGAGGAGAGCACCAGCAACAGAAAACCUUCUGUCGCGAUGAGCCCGAGACCCCAAUUCCUCU